rnacentral:sRNA from 1 species
CUCUUGGUCAUUUAGAGGAAGUAAAAGUCGUAACAAGGUUUCCGUAGGUGAACCUGCGGAAGGAUCAUUAUCGAGUUUUGACUGGGUUGUAGCUGGCCUUCCGAGGCAUGUGCACGCCCUGCUCAUCCACUCUACACCUGUGCACUUACUGUGGGCAUUAGAUCGUGAAGCGGGCUCUUUUACCGGAGCCUGUGAAGCGUAUCUGUGCCUACGUUUAUCACAAACUCCAUAAAGUAUCAGAAUGUGUAUCACGAUGUAACGCAUCUAUAUACAACUUUCAGCAACGGAUCUCUUGGCUCUCGCAUCGAUGAAGAACGCAGCGAAAUGCGAUAAGUAAUGUGAAUUGCAGAAUUCAGUGAAUCAUCGAAUCUUUGAACGCACCUUGCGCUCCUUGGUAUUCCGAGGAGCAUGCCUGUUUGAGUGUCAUGAAAUCUUCAACCUACAAGCUUUUGCGGCCUGCAGGCUUGGACUUGGAGGCUUGUCGGCCUUUAUUUGGUCGGCUCCUCUUAAACGCAUUAGCUUGGUUCCUUGCGGAUCGGCUCUCGGUGUGAUAAUAUCUACGCCGCGACCGUGAAGCGUUUGGCGAGCUUCUAAACGUCUCUCUUGAGAGACAACUUUUAUGACCUCUGACCUCAAAUCAGGUAGGACUACCCGCUGAACUUAAGCAUAUCAAUAAGCGGAGGAAAAGAAACUAACAAGGAUUCCCCUAGUAACUGCGAGUGAAGCGGGAAAAGCUCAAAUUUAAAAUCUGGCGGUCUCUGGCCGUCCGAGUUGUAGUCUGGAGAAGUGCUUUCCGCGCUGGACCGUGUACAAGUCUCCUGAGUAUUGGGA